rnacentral:rRNA from 1 species
AGACCGCCUGGGGAGUACGGCCGCAAGGUUAAAACUCAAAUGAAUUGACGGGGGCCCGCACAAGCGGUGGAGCAUGUGGUUUAAUUCGAUGCAACGCGAAGAACCUUACCUGGUCUUGACAUCCACAGAAGAAUCCAGAGAUGGAUUUGUGCCUUCGGGAACUGUGAGACAGGUGCUGCAUGGCUGUCGUCAGCUCGUGUUGUGAAAUGUUGGGUUAAGUCCCGCAACGAGCGCAACCCUUAUCCUUUGUUGCCAGCGAUUAGGUCGGGAACUCAAAGGAGACUGCCAGUGAUAAACUGGAGGAAGGUGGGGAUGACGUCAAGUCAUCAUGGCCCUUACGACCAGGGCUACACACGUGCUACAAUGGCGCAUACAAAGAGAAGCGACCUCGCGA